rnacentral:rRNA from 1 species
CCUACGGGGGGCUGCAGUGGGGAAUAUUGGACAAUGGGCGAAAGCCUGAUCCAGCCAUACCGCGUGUGUGAAGAAGGCCUUCGGGUUGUAAAGCACUUUCAGUGGGGAAGAAAGCCUUGGGGCUAAUACCCUCGAGGAAGGACAUCACCCACAGAAGAAGCACCGGCUAACUCCGUGCCAGCAGCCGCGGUAAUACGGAGGGUGCGAGCGUUAAUCGGAAUUACUGGGCGUAAAGCGCGCGUAGGCGGUCUGAUAAGCCGGUUGUGAAAGCCCCGGGCUCAACCUGGGAACGGCAUCCGGAACUGUCAGGCUAGAGUGCAGGAGAGGAAGGUAGAAUUCCCGGUGUAGCGGUGAAAUGCGUAGAGAUCGGGAGGAAUACCAGUGGCGAAGGCGGCCUUCUGGACUGACACUGACGCUGAGGUGCGAAAGCGUGGGUAGCAAACAGGAUUAGAUACCCCAGUAGUC